CUUAUAAUGCAACCGUCUCAUUGGACGGGAAGGGAGAUUAUACAACAAUCGGCGCCGCUAUAGCAGCAGCACCGAAUAACAGUGACUCCAGGUUUAUCAUUUAUGUUAAACCUAGAAUGUAUUUUGAAUAUAUAAAAAUCGAAUCGUCGAAAACCUUCAUUACAUUAAAGGAUGACGAUGCGUCUACCACAACUAUAGUGGGUAACAGGAGCCAGGCCAAUGGCUUUGGAACUGCGGAUUCAGCCACAUUCCUCGUGGGUGCGAACCAGUUCAUAGCUAUUUCCAUUACGUUUUCAAACUCUGCUGGAGCUGGACCGCUGGACCUAAAUACGGCCGAGCAGUUGCUCUCUUGAAUAGUGAUAAUGUAAAUUAUACUGUCUUUCACAAGUGCGUUUUUCUUGGGUAUCAAGACACUUUUCAUAAAUGGAAAGAUGUUGUUUUUCAAAGAUUGUGAAAUCUACGGUACAGUAGAUUUCAUAUUUGGGAACGCACUUGCUGUUUUUCAAGAUUGUAGAAUUUACGCCCGACUACUAAAUAACACUGUUACUGUCACCGCACAAUCUAAAGAGUACAAACUACAAUUGAGUGGCUUCUCGUUUCAGAAUUGCAGUGUAAUGGCCUCUCCUGAACUUGGGCCAGUAAAUGAAAUGAUUGUGUUUCUUGGCCAUCCUUGGAGAGACUAUUCCACUGUGAUUUUCAUGGAAUCGUUUCUAGACUCAGUGGUGAAUCCUGCCGGAUGGUCAGAAUGGUUCAAUAGUAGUUCUCUGAAAUUAUUAUUUUAUGCUGAGUAUGGCAACAGAGGACCGGGGGCUAACUUAUCCGAAAGAGUCAAGUGGCCGGGAUUCCAUGCAAUAGAGAAUCGAAAAGAAGCCACUCGAUUGACAAUUUAUCAACGGGACUACAUGGUUGCCAGUUGAAACUGGUGUACCAUAUAGACCCGAUUUGUAAUAUAGAUAUGUGCAACGUGACACGGAAUAAAAGUUAUUUAGUAUCGUUUCA